rnacentral:rRNA from 1 species
UACGUAGGGUUCAAGCGUUGUCCGGAAUUAUUGGGCGUAAAGAGCGUGUAGGCGGCCCGAUUAGUCCGCUGUGAAAGUCCAGGGCUCAACCCUGGAAUGCCGGUGGAUACUGUCGGGCUAGAGUCCGGAAGGGGCGAGUGGAAUUCCUGGUGUAGCGGUGAAAUGCGCAGAUAUCAGGAGGAACACCUAUUGCGAAGGCAGCUCGCUGGGACGUAACUGACGCUGAGACGCGAAAGCGUGGGGAGCAAACAGG